GAGUUUGAUCAUGGCUCAGGACGAACGCUGGCGGCGUGCCUAAUACAUGCAAGUCGAGCGGAACACUUGGAGCUUGCUCCAAGCGUUCAGCGGCGGACGGGUGAGUAACACGUGGGCAACCUGCCCUGCAGAUCGGGAUAACUCCGGGAAACCGGUGCUAAUACCGAAUAGUUUGCGGCCUCUCCUGAGGCUGCACGGAAAGACGGUUUCGGCUGUCACUGCAGGAUGGGCCCGCGGCGCAUUAGCUAGUUGGUGGGGUAAUGGCCCACCAAGGCGACGAUGCGUAGCCGACCUGAGAGGGUGAUCGGCCACACUGGGACUGAGACACGGCCCAGACUCCUACGGGAGGCAGCAGUAGGGAAUCUUCCGCAAUGGACGAAAGUCUGACGGAGCAACGCCGCGUGAGUGACGAAGGUUUUCGGAUUGUUUUUCUCUGUUGUGAGGGAAGAACAAGUGCCACCUAACUACUGGCACCUUGACGGUACCUCACCAGAAAGCCACGGCUAACUACGUGCCAGCCGCCGCGGUAAUA
rnacentral:rRNA from 1 species